rnacentral:rRNA from 1 species
UAAUACGAAGGGGGCGAGCGUUGUUCGGAAUUACUGGGCGUAAAGGGCGCGUAGGCGGCCCACUUUGUCAGGCGUGAAAGCCCCGGGCUCAACCUGGGAAUUGCGCUUGGGACGGGUGGGCUUGAGUUCGGGAGAGGAGAGUGGAAUUCCCAGUGUAGAGGUGAAAUUCGUAGAUAUUGGGAAGAACACCGGUGGCGAAGGCGGCUCUCUGGACCGAUACUGACGCUGAGGCGCGAAAGCGUGGGGAGCAAACAGGAUUAGAUACCCUGGUAGUCCACGCUGUAAACGAUGUGUGCUAGACGUUGGGGAGCCUAGCUCUUCGGUGUCGCCGCUAACGCUUUAAGCACACCGCCUGGGGAGUACGGCCGCAAGGUUA